UGUCGCAAUUUUUGCAAUAAUUAAAACAUGGCAAUAAUUUUGAUUUACAGUAUUAGAGAGAUUCAACUAGAAACACUAUUUUCUAGGUUUUACAACAAAGAGUGAUUUUACUAGAUCAUGAAGUGUUUACUGUAGUCUGGUACUAGAUUUUGAAAUAUGGAUUUCGGCUCAGUUUUCUCUAAAUUCAAAUUUUUUGGGUGCAUUCAUUAUUUCGAAUUUUUAAAAAGAUGGGAAAAAAAUGGGGGAAAUAUUGUUUACAAAUAAUGCAAUCAUUGCCACACACAUCCUGCAGCAAUUUUUCACCAAGAUGUCUGAAUUUACUAUUUAUCUGCUAUUCUUAUGUACACCUUUGUUUUUAAUGAUUUGGUGAACAAUAUGUAUUCAAGUUUACAUAUAGAUGUAUUUGUUAAGUUUUCAUAUCAUGUCUUUGGUUGUAUGCUUUUAAACUUUUGUUGCUAUUAUAACUAUAACUUAUGUACUAAAAAUAUUGUAACCUUGUUCAGGGGAUAGUUUUGAAUCUGCUUUUAAAAUGAGCUGCGUCGGAUUGAAACUUAUCUUAGAGGGUUUGGAUGGGGUUAAAUGAUCAAAGAAUAAUGCCCUUAAAAAAUGAAGAUUAGAGAAUAACGGACAAAAAAAAUAAAGAUUAGAGAAAAAAGGGGUAAAUUUUUUGAAGAUUAGAGAAAAAAGGGGUUAAUUUUUUAAAGAUUAGAGUAAAAAGGGGUGAAAAUUAAAUGUUUACAGAAUAACAGACCCCCCCCAUCCAGACCCUCAUCUUAUGCAAAUGAAUAUUUAUACAUCUGUUAACCUAUUUUGGAUUUAAAAAAUGUCUACGGAAAGUCUGAAUUUAGCUGUGUCAAAAUUGAAUUUUUUAUAAUAACCCUAUAAAACAGACAAAAUUCAUCAUUUUAUUUCUUAUUUGAAUAUUUAAAAAAUGUAAUCGACUAAAGUUUUAUACAUUUAUAUGUAUACAAGCACUUGCAUAAGGUUGUUUCUAUCAGAUGCAGCUCAAAUAUUAUUUAGUGAUUACAUAUUUUUAAACUAGAUACAAUGUUCAAACUAGUUAUUUGAGCCAGUUUAUGCAGUGGCAGAUUUAGGGAAAGGGGCCUAGAGGGCUUUACAAGGUUGCAACAGUACUAACAAAGUUUACAUACUUUAUACAAAUGUUUUGCAAUGAAUGUUGAAGAUUUUUUUUUAAUGUGGGUCAUUUCAGGGUUUUGUAGGUUUUUAUUUAAAAUGACCGAUCUUAAUCCCUUAAAUAAUUGCAUGUGUCUUGUUUUGCUCUUUGCUCUGCCAGAAAUAGACUCUGCCGACUUUGCAUCUUAAGUUCAUCAAGUCAACUUGGUUUCAAGAUAAUUAUGGACUUUGUGUUAUAAGAUUGAAUUGAUCAGUUUUAUGCAAUAACAUAGCUUUACUUUACCAGUAUUGGCUUUAUUGUUUCAUUUGAUUAUGUUAUCAGGUUUCCCCUCACCCCGCAUAUCCAUUAACUAUUCCCACUGGACAUUAAACAAACAACAACCAUUUGAUAUUUGACCUCCAUGGGUCAAUUGAAAUGGUUAUCAUAACAACAAUUACAGUUAUAUUGAUUGAAAAAAUUUCAACAAUAUUGACCCAGUAUUUUUAUUUGAUGAAUAGUACUUGAAUAUAUAUGAGGAUCUAGAGGGGGUUCCUGAAUUUCUGUAUAGUUAAAUUUUUCAGGCCAUUUUUCUGUAUCUAUACAAAUAAUGACAAUUUUUUAAUAAUUCUUGUACAAACAGAUUUUGCUGUUAAUUGUUUCUGAAAUUAAUUAUAUGAUUUCUUUAUUCCGUAGUUUGUUCAUUUCUGUAUUAUCCUUAUUAUAUUACGUAGUCUUUAAUUUUCUACAGUUAUUCUUUAUACUUUUGCACCCCAUUUUUCUCUCGAUUAUUUUGUAUGAUCAUUAUAUUAUUUGGCUAUUAUUCUCUAUUCUGUAAACCCCAUCCAGACCCUCAUAAAUCAAAUGUUACUUUUAAACAUCAAGAUAAGUUCCUUUCCUGAAAGUACGAUCCUUUGGGAACCUUCAUGAAAAAAAAGUCAAGUUUUUUAUAAUACUGUAUACUGACCUGAGUUGACCAAUGGUAUUUAACUAACAAAACAUAUUUCUUUUUUUUUCCUUCAUAAAGUAUUGUCUCAAGUAUUUCAGUAUUCCCUUACAACUUUUCCUGGAAUAACUAUAAUUCAUUAUCUGAAUCAAGUUAGGUAGUCCUGAUCAUGGUAAAGUUGGGCAAAUUGUAGAUUCUUUGUUAGUAAUUUAAUUCAGCUAGAGUUAUUUCCCUUUGGGCACAUUUUUUUUUUUCUUUCAUGUAAUUUAUGUAUUAGAGUUUGACACCUUUUAAAAUUUUUUUGUGAAAAUGUCAACUACAUUGAUAUUUUGAAAUUAUGUUAAUUUAAUGAUAUCUUAUUGACAACUUUUUGUCAACUUCUUAUGAUAAAUGUAUACAAUAUACCUUUAGAAAAGUCGACAUAUCUUGUAAAAUACAAAAAAAUGGAUAUGUUUCUUUUGAAGUUAAAUAAGACUGAAUUUACACAUUACUGAAGUUUCAUGCUUUAAUAUUUUAAAAGUUUUUAUUUUUACUAUUCAGGAUCAUACGAUUGGAACAAUUACAGUUUUUAUUUUAGAAGUUUUUAAACAGAGUUUUUUUUUAUUAUAUGAUGAUUGUCAGUAUAUAGUUCAUUCAUUUUAUUCUCUUUGUUAAAUAUGUUGAAUUGUUAUGUUCAGACUGUAUACUUUAAAAAAAAAAAACACCUUUUGAAACAGAGAAUCUAUCAUUAAAAUUAUGAGUAUUAUGUUAGAGCUUAGUACUUUGAAAAACUACAUUAAACAGUUUAUAAAACAUUCAGUGCUAGUAAUACAAAUGUAUAUAUAUUGAAAUACUUGUCUGAAAUUUUUAAACAACCUUUUACACUUGGGGCAAUGAAUUUCCCAACAACUGGGUUUGUCUCGUUGUGGAAGGUAGCAAUGUUUCUUAUAAUUGUUUAUACCCAUGCCGAAUAGUAAGCUAUUAAAGACACAGGAUAUCAGUAGUGAAAGAAAAUAAAUAGUUUGAGCUAAUAACAUUAUACAAAAAUACAAAUCUGACUGGCGGCAAACAAUGACAACUACUGGAUUACACAAUCAUUGAUUGUUUACACAAUUUAAGUGUUCUGGAUUACAGAUAGUUAUUUAAAACAGGGAUCUUUUUUUUCUAGUUAUGGCUUUUCCUUUUAUGAAUAAUUAUGGUAUAAACAUUUUUAUACGACUGCAAAAAUUGAAAAUUUUUGGUCGUGUAUUGGUAUGACGUUGGCGUCGUCAUCAUCCGAAAACAUUUGGUUUUCGCACUAUAAUUUUAUCAUAAGUGAAUAGAAAUCUAUGAAAUUUAACCACAAGGUUUAUGACCACAAAAGGAAGAUUGGGAUUGAUUUUGGGAGUUAUGGUCCCAACAGUUUAGGAAUUAGGGGAAAAAAAGGGCCCAAAUAAGCAUUUUCUUGGUUUUUGCACAAUUAAUUUUAGAAUAAGUAAAUAGAAAUCUAUGAAAUAUAAACACAAGGUUAAUGACCACAAAAGGAAGGUUGAGAUUCUCCCUCUUUUGGAAAUUUUAAUUUUAAGCAGUUGGAAAUAAAAUUAAAGUUGUCUUUAAAUUAAAAUCAUCAUUAUCAUUCAUGAACGAAAAUUAAAACAACUUGAGAAUGUCAUGUCUUUAAAGCACAUUGCAAUACUACAUAGAUGAAUAAUUUAUUUUGCAAGCUUAUAGAAAUAUUACAUUUCCACAUUAUUUUGAAAUGUCUUUUUAUGUAUUUAUGAUUUUUAAUGUUAUUGUACUAGAUUUUAUCAUUUGUACAUAAAAACUUUACAUCAUUGUUUUAUUGAUAUAUGUCAUAUAUAUGUUAUUGUAAUAAUAAAAACUGUG
rnacentral:lncRNA from 1 species